CACUCCUACGGGAGGCAGCAGUGGGGAAUUUUGGACAAUGGGGGCAACCCUGAUCCAGCAAUGCCGCGUGAGUGAAGAAGGCCUUCGGGUUGUAAAGCUCUUUUGUCAGGGAAGAAACGGUGGUGGCGAAUAACUACUACUAAUGACGGUACCUGAAGAAUAAGCACCGGCUAACUACGUGCCAGCAGCCGCGGUAAUACGUAGGGUGCAAGCGUUAAUCGGAAUUACUGGGCGUAAAGCGUGCGCAGGCGGUUGUGUAAGUCAGAUGUGAAAUCCCCGGGCUCAACCUGGGAAUUGCAUUUGAGACUGCACGGCUAGAGUGUGUCAGAGGGGGGUAGAAUUCCACGUGUAGCAGUGAAAUGCGUAGAUAUGUGGAGAAAUACCUAUUGCGAAGGCAGCCCCCUGCGAUAACACUGACGCUCAUGCACGAAAGCGUGGGGUGCAAACAGGAUUAGAAACCCAGUAGUCCCAUGAU
rnacentral:rRNA from 1 species